CCCCUCUCUUCAAGUAGUGGCAGAUAUUAAUCGAGCAGGCUCUACUGCAUAAUAUACUGCUUUCAAACAGCACGAAAUAUCCUCACAGGGAGUCAAGGUACAGAGAACACUAGGGCUGAAUUUCUGCUAGCCAGGGAUGAAUUACCACCCACCAAUGGUUUGUGGUCAUGUACCCUGGUUUAUUAAGUGAUUAAACUCAAAGAACGAAUAUAUAUUAUCCCUUUGAAAUAAAU